rfam:Staphylococcus sp. HGB0015 genomic scaffold aczIz-supercont1.2, whole genome shotgun sequence.
GUCUUAUCAAGAGAGAUGGAGGGACUGGCCCGAUGAAAUCUCGGCAACAGGAUGCAUUCACUGUGCCAAUUCCAGUAGCGCAAUUGCUAGAAGAUAAGUC